CCUACGGGAGGCAGCAGUGGGGAAUAUUGGACAAUGGGGGGAACCCUGAUCCAGCCAUGCCGCGUGUGUGAAGAAGGCCUUAUGGUUGUAAAGCACUUUAAGCGAGGAGGAGGCUACUGGGACUAAUACUCUUGGAUAGUGGACGUUACUCGCAGAAUAAGCACCGGCUAACUCUGUGCCAGCAGCCGCGGUAAU
rnacentral:rRNA from 1 species